rnacentral:rRNA from 1 species
CUAAUACCGCAUAACGUCGCAAGACCAAAGAGGGGGACCUUCGGGCCUCUUGCCAUCAGAUGUGCCCAGAUGGGAUUAGCUAGUAGGUGGGGUAACGGCUCACCUAGGCGACGAUCCCUAGCUGGUCUGAGAGGAUGACCAGCCACACUGGAACUGAGACACGGUCCAGACUCCUACGGGAGGCAGCAGUGGGGAAUAUUGCACAAUGGGCGCAAGCCUGAUGCAGCCAUGCCGCGUGUAUGAAGAAGGCCUUCGGGUUGUAAAGUACUUUCAGCGAGGAGGAAGGCAUUGUGGUUAAUAACCACCGUGUUUGACG